AUUGAACGCUGGCGGCAGGCCUAACACAUGCAAGUCGAGCGGAGCGGCGGACGGGUACGUAAUGCCUAGGAAUCUGCCUGGUAGUGGGGGAUGACGACCGGAAACGGGCGCUCAUACCGCUUACUCUCUGCUGCACCUAGGCCGGCUUAGCUAGUUGGUGGGGUAAAUGCAUACCAAGCCGACGAUCCUUAACUGGUCUGAGAGGAUGAUCAGUCACACUGGAACUGAGACACGGUCCAGACUCCUACGGGAGGCAGCAGUGGGGAAUAUUGGACAAUGGGCGAAAGCCUGAUGCAGCCAUGCCGCGUGUGUGAAGAAGGUCUUCGGGUUGUAAAGCACUUUAAGUUGGGAGGCGUUACCAACAGAAUAAGCACCGGCUAACUUCGUGCCAGCAGCCGCGGUAAUAC
rnacentral:rRNA from 1 species